AGCUUUGCGCAGUGGCAGUAUCGUAGCCAAUGAGGUUUGUCCGAGGCGCGAUUAUUGCUAAUUAAAAAAUAACUAUAGGGGCGCCUGGGUGGCUCAGUGAGUUGAGCCGCUGCCUUUGGCUCGGGUCAUGAUCU
ensembl:snRNA U4 U4 spliceosomal RNA